rnacentral:rRNA from 1 species
AGGCCCAGGGGAUUGCCUUCGCCAUCGGUGUUCCUCCGCAUAUCUACGCAUUUCACUGCUACACGCGGAAUUCCAUCCCCCUCUGCCGCACUCUAGCCUUGCAGUCACAAUGGCAGUUCCCAGGUUGAGCCCGGGGAUUUCACCACUGUCUUACAAAACCGCCUGCGCACGCUUUACGCCCAGUAAUUCCGAUUAACGCUUGCACCCUACGUAUUACCGCGGCUGCUGGCACGUAGUUAGCCGGUGCUUAUUCUUACGGUACCGUCAUGACCCGGGGAUAUUAGCCCCAGGCUUUUCGUUCCGUACAAAAGCAGUUUACAACCCGAGGGCCUUCAUCCUGCACGCGGCAUUGCUGGAUCAGGCUUUCGCCCAUUGUCCAAAAUUCCCCACUGCUGCCUCCCGUAGGAGUCUGGGCCGUGUCUCAGUCCCAGUGUGGCUGGUCGUCCUCUCAGACCAGCUACAGAUCGCAGGCUUGGUAAGCCUUUACCCCACCAACUACCUAAUCUGCCAUCAGCCGCUCUAGUAGCACAAGGCCCGAAGGUCCCCUGCUUUCAUCCGUAGAUCUCAUGCGGUAUUAGCUACUCUUUCGAGUAGUUAUCCCCCACUACUAGGCACGUUCCGAUGUAUUACUCACCCGUUCGCCACUCGUCAGCAUCCGAAGACCUGUUACCGUUCGACUUGCAUGUGUAAAGCAUGCCGCCAGCGUUCAAU